UACGUAGGGGGCAAGCGUUGUCCGGAAUCAUUGGGCGUAAAACGCGUGUAGGCGGUCCGGUAAGUCGGCUGUGAAAGUCCAGGGCUCAACCCUGGGAUGCCGGUCGAUACUGCCGGACUAGAGUUCGGAAGAGGCGAGUGGAAUUCCCGGUGUAGCGGUGAAAUGCGCAGAUAUCGGGAGGAACACCAAUGGCGAAGGCAGCUCGCUGGGACGUUACUGACGCUGAGACGCGAAAGCGUGGGGAGCAAACAGG
rnacentral:rRNA from 1 species